rnacentral:rRNA from 1 species
GAAGACGACUAACAGGAUUCCCCUAGUAACUGCGAGUGAAGCGGGAAAAGCUCAAAUUUAAAAUCUGGUGGCCUUUGUCCAUCCGAGUUGUAAUUUAGAGAAGCGUCUUCCGCGCCGGACCGUGCACAAGUCUCCUGGAACGGAGCGUCAUAGAGGGUGAGAAUCCCGUCUUUGGCACGGACCCACCGGGGCUUUUGCGAUGCGCUCUCGAAGAGUCGAGUUGUUUGGGAAUGCAGCUCAAAAUGGGUGGUGAACUCCAUCUAAAGCUAAAUAUUGGCGAGAGACCGAUAGCGAACAAGUACCGUGAGGGAAAGAUGAAAAGCACUUUGGAAAGAGAGUGAAACAGUACGUGAAAUUGUUGAAAGGGAAACGCUUGAAGUCAGUCGCGUCGCCCGAGACUCAGCCUCGCCUCGGCUUGGUGUACUUCUCGGCUGACGGGUCAGCAUCAAUUUCGCUCCUUGGAUAAUGGCCAGGGAAAUGUGACACCUUCAUCGGUGUGUUAUAGUCUCUAGUCGCAUGCAAGGGUCGGGAUUGAGGAACUCGGCACGCGCCCUCGGGCGUCGGGGUUUUGCCCACGAUACGUGCUUAGGAUGUUGGCGUAAUGGCUUUAAACGACCCGUCUUGAAACACGGACCAAGGAGUCUAACGUGCCCGCGAGUGUUCGGGUGGAAAACCCGUGCGCGCAAUGAAAGUGAAAGUUGGGACCUCCGUCGUGGAGGGCACCGACGCCCGGACCAGACCUUCUGUGACGGAUCUGCGGUAGAGCGUGUAUGUUAGGACCCGAAAGAUGGUGAACUAUGCCUGAAUAGGGUGAAGCCAGAGGAAACUCUGGUGGAGGCUCGUAGCGAUUCUGACGUGCAAAUCGAUCGUCAAAUUUGGGUAUAGGGGCGAAAGACUAAUCGACCAUCAGGC